rnacentral:rRNA from 1 species
GACGAACGCUGGCGGCGUGCUUAAUACAUGCCAGUCGAGCGAACAGACGAGGAGCUUGCUCCUCUGACGUUAGCGGCGGACGGGUGAGUAACACGUGGAUCACCCACCUAUAAGACUGGGAUAACUUCGGGAAACCGGAGCUAAUACCGGAUAAUAUAUUGAACCGCAUGGUUCAAUAGUGAAAGACGGUUUUGCUGUCACUUAUAGAUGGAUCCGCGCCGCAUUAGCUAGUUGGUAAGGUAACGGCUUACCAAGGCGACGAUGCGUAGCCGACCUGAGAGGGUGAUCGGCCACACUGGAACUGAGACGCGGUCCAGGCUCCUGCGGGAGGCAGCAGUAGGGAAUCUUCCGCAAUGGGCGAAAGCCUUGCGGAGCAACGCCGCGUGAGUGAUAAAGAUCUUCGGAUCGUAAAACUCUGUUAUUAGGGAAGAACAAAUGUGUAAGUAGCUGUGCACGUCUUGACGGUACCUGAUCAGGAAGCCACGGCUAACUACGUG